AUGCCAAUCCUUGAUAACAAGAACACACGAGCACAUGACUAAGAGGGAGAAGGGCCUUAAACAGAGAAAAGGAAGUAGUGCACUAGCAGGGAAAUAGAGAAGUUCGCCCUCCCCACCUACACGAGGGGGAUCGCUCUAUCCGUUCCGUCUCCUUAUUUACGAAUAAAGCCUGCUAACUAAUCUCAUUUACUAGCUAUUCUAUGAAGAGCAACAAGACGAUGUAACAGGUAGAUAAAUUGAUACAAGAAGAUAGUCCGAACCCCCUAAUGCAACCCAGUUACCAAAAGCGGGAGAAUCUUCGUUACAUGCCUAGCGUAGGAUAAUGAUGCG
rnacentral:lncRNA from 1 species